UCUGGAUUUGGUCAUCCACACUAACUCCUAAAAUCUUGCAAAUGUAAAUAGCGAUUGAUUGUAUUAUGUAAUCUCCCUCUCUCUCUGAGCUCAUAAUCUCUUGCGCGUGUGUGAAUAGGGGUGCAUGUCUGUGUGCUUGUAUGAAUAUGUUGGGGUGUGCAAUGAGGAAAGAUCAGCUGGCUUGUUUUGGGUUUCAUGCGCAACUUUGGUAGGAAAUAGCAGUGUUGUACAAAAAUCCUAGUUUUGCGAACUAGAAUGAUAGUUUGCUAGGUUAUGCUUGCCCAAGUUGAUUCA
rnacentral:lncRNA from 1 species